GUCUAUGGCAAUACCACCCUGAACAUGCACAAUCUCACCUGAUCUUAGAAGCGAGGCAGUGUCAGGCCUGCUUCAUACUUAGAUGGGAGGAAGGCUGGUUCUUCCCCAAGUGAAUACAGACAAUAGAUA
rnacentral:rRNA from 1 species